AAAACAAAACUUUAGGAAGAUAUUCAAUUUAAUGGAAACUAGUCUAGUCAUUUGGGAACCACAAGAGCUUUUUAGGGAAAUCUGCCCCUGCAGGAUAGAGGAAGUGUGGGUGUACCGGAGUCCCAGUGACACUUUAUGACAUCAGAUAUCCCAAGAGGAAGGUUGAUUGGCUACUGAGGAGCUGAAGCAGGGUUUAAAUUCUUGUGCCAUCCAUGUAAUUUUCAAAAACCAGCUAAAACAUAUCUUCAUUGACCCCACAUAUUUCUGAUGAGAUCUACAACCCAAUAUUUGGUGAAUUGUCUAGAGAAAAAAUUUUCGAACUGAAGAAACAGAUAAAGGUUGGAAGUUUCCUAAUUAUCAACUAUGAAGACUCCUUUCCUGCUCAUCGUCUUCUGGGGAUUAUCCUGUGCUCUUCCUGUCACCAGAUAUCUAAACACAGAUUCUGAGAGUUCUGAAGAAUUGACGGUA
rnacentral:lncRNA from 1 species